GCCUGGGUGGCUCAGAGGGUUGAGCAUCUGACUUCGGCUCAGGUCAUGAUCUCACGGUUACGUGGGUUCGAGCCCCGCCUCGGGAU
rnacentral:tRNA from 1 species